rnacentral:rRNA from 1 species
AGCGGCGGACGGGUGAGUUUGGCGGGGGUAACCUGCCCUAUACACACGGAUAACAUACCGAAAGGUAUGCUAAUACGAGAUAAUAUAAGAGAUUCACAUGGAUUUCUUAUCAAAGCUGAGGCGGUAUAGGAUGGACCCGCGUCUGAUUAGCUAGUUGGUAAGGUAACGGCUUACCAAGGCGACGAUCAGUAGCCGACCUGAGAGGGUGAUCGGCCACAUUGGAACUGAGACACAGUCCAAACUCCUACGGGAGGCAGCAGUGGGGAAUAUUGCACAAUGGGCGAAAGCCUGAUGCAGCAACGCCGCGUGAGUGAUGAAGGCCUUCGAGUCGUAAAACUCUGUCCUCAAGGAAGAUAAUGACGGUACUUGAGGAGGAAGCCCCGGCUAACUACGUGCCAGCAGCCGCGGUAAUACGUAGGGGGCUAGCGUUAUCCGGAUUUACUGGGCGUAAAGGGUGCGUAGGUGGUCUCUUAAGUCAGGAGUGAAAGGCUACGGCUUAACCGUAGUAAGCUCUUGAAACUGGGAGACUUGAGUGCAGGAGAGGAAAGUGGAAUUCCUAGUGUAGCGGUGAAAUGCGUAGAUAUUAGGAGGAACACCAGUAGCGAAGGCGGCUUUCUGGACUGUAACUGACACUGAGGCACGAAAGCGUGGGGAGCAAACAGGAUUAGAUACCCUGGUAGUCCACGCUGUAAACGAUGAGUACUAGGUGU